GACGAACGCUGGCGGCGUGCUUAACACAUGCAAGUCGAACGGUGAAGCUCCAGCUUGCUGGAGUGGAUCAGUGGCGAACGGGUGAGUAACACGUGAGCAACCUGCCCCUGACUCUGGAAUAAGCGCUGGAAACGGCGUCUAAUACUGGAUACGAGAAGGGUCCGCAUGGGCACUUUCUGGAAAGUUUUUCGGUUGGGGAUGGGCUCGCGGCCUAUCAGCUUGUUGGUGAGGUAAUGGCUCACCAAGGCGACGACGGGUAGCCGGCCUGAGAGGGCGACCGGCCACACUGGGACUGAGACACGGCCCAGACUCCUACGGGAGGCAGCAGUGGGGAAUAUUGCACAAUGGGCGAAAGCCUGAUGCAGCGACGCCGCGUGAGGGAUGACGGCCUUCGGGUUGUAAACCUCUUUCAGCAGGGAAGAAGCGAAAGUGACGGUACCUGCAGAAGAAGCACCAGCUAACUACGUG
rnacentral:rRNA from 1 species